GUCUACAGCCAUACCACCCUGAAUGCGCCUGAUCUCGUCUGAUCUCGGAAGCUAAGCAGGGUCGGGCUUGGUUAGUACUUGGAAGAGAGAAAUUUUUCCAAAGAUA
ensembl:rRNA 5S_rRNA 5S ribosomal RNA